CCCUGCCCUUUGUACACACCGCCCGUCGCUCCUACCGAUUGAAUGAAGAGAUGAAUCUGAUGGACCAGGUGUUUUCAUUGUAAAUUGAUUAUUUUUUGGGAAAUCAGCUGAAUCCCUUUGUUUGUAGGAAGGAA
rnacentral:rRNA from 1 species